GACGAACCGUCCAAACGUUAUUCGGAAUUACUGGGCUUAAAGGGUGCGUAGGCGGCGCGGAAAGUAGGGUGUGAAAUCCCUCGGCUCAACCGAGGAACUGCGCCCUAAACUACCGUGCUUGAGGGAGAUAGAGGUAAGCGGAACUUAGGGUGGAGCGGUGAAAUGCGUUGAUAUCCUAAGGAACACCGGUGGCGAAAGCGGCUUACUGGAUCUCUUCUGACGCUGAGGCACGAAAGCUAGGGUAGCGAACAGG
rnacentral:rRNA from 1 species